GACUGAUUAAAGUUCAAGUUUCACCCGAAACGAGUGAAAAUUCAAUCAAAACUGAGGAGAUAAAAUGACACACCAGGCAGGUGAAAAUAAAGGUUUAAUGGUAUCGCUUUGGAUUACAACCAGCAAAGCACCACAUAGGUACAGUGAAAUAACGGUGUACUCUUCUGCUAAACUUCACGUUUUUAUCUGCUGGAGUGGGAUGACGAGCUGAAUCAAUCACACACUGUUUAUUGAACGACGCAUAUUUUUCUCUUUGAUUGGACAACCACAGUCACAAUUCUGAAGCAGAGAUGUCGCAUCAUGACAAGCACGCUUACCAGUAGAAGCAUCAGCCAUCAUCUGCUGAACUACGGUAGCUGCGAAAGAACAUCUUAAAGAAAAACGCCUGCAUUUUCUUAACCACUAGCGGCACCAAAGCAUCAAUCAUGUGUACUACCUUAAUUUUAGUCAUUCAUCACAAUGAAUCUCUAUUACCACAGUUACGUUACC
ensembl:processed_transcript